rnacentral:rRNA from 1 species
AGAGUUUGAUCCUGGCUCAGAACGAACGCUGGCGGCAGGCUUAACACAUGCAAGUCGAACGGACGUAGCAAUACGUCAGUGGCAGACGGGUGAGUAACACGUGGGAACCUUCCUAGGGGUACGGAACAACUCAGGGAAACUUGAGCUAAUACCGUAUACGUCCGUGAGGAGAAAGAUUUAUCGCCCUUAGACGGGCCCGCGUCGGAUUAGGUAGUUGGUGGGGUAACGGCCUACCAAGCCUACGAUCCGUAGCUGAUCUUAGAGGAUGAUCAGCCACACUGGGACUGAGACACGGCCCAGACUCCUACGGGAGGCAGCAGUGGGGAAUCUUGGACAAUGGGCGCAAGCCUGAUCCAGCCAUGCCGCGUGAGUGAAGAAGGCCUUAGGGUUGUAAAGCUCUUUUACCAGGGACGAUAAUGACGGUACCUGGAGAAUAAGCCCCGGCAAACUUCGUGCCAGCAGCCGCGGUAAUACGAAGGGGGCUAGCGUUGUUCGGAAUUACUGGGCGUAAAGCGCACGUAGGCGGGUCGUUAAGUCAGGGGUGAAAUCCCGGAGCUCAACUCCGGAACUGCCUUUGAUACUGGCGAUCUAGAGAUCGAGAGAGGUGAGUGGAAUUCCGAGUGUAGAGGUGAAAUUCGUAGAUAUUCGGAAGAACACCAGUGGCGAAGGCGGCUCACUGGCUCGAUACUGACGCUGAGGUGCGAAAGCGUGAGGAGCAAACAGGAUUANAUACCCUGGUAGUCCACGCCGUAACCUAUGGAUGCUAGCCGUCAGGAAGCUUGCUUCGUGGUGGCGCANCUAACGCAUUAAGCAUCCCGCCUGGGGAGUACGGUCGCAAGAUUA